UAAUAAGGCUUAAUAAUGUCAUAAGGGAUUCAUUUUAUUUCCCCAUAUUAUAUAUUCACAGUAAUUCUGAGUAUCACAUAUUUGUAUUAGAUUUAUUUAUUUGUUUAUUUAUUUUUAUUAAUAAUCAGAGCAUAUUAUAUGUUCAUGCGGUUUUUUUUAUUACUGUUACAACCUGUGAUGUCAUAUCCUCUUCAACAACAGCUAGAGUUUGGAUCGUUUCAAAGGUUGGGACUCACUGCACGCCCCACCAAAACUCAACAUGACUAGGGCUUUUAUUGCAUUGAUUCUGUUACUGCACUGGAGCCAAGGCGCUGAGGGUGGAGAUGAUGUUGUUCAAGAGCCUGAAAUUCUUUGGGAACCGAAGAACGGUUCUGCUUCUUUGAGCUGCAAACACAAUAAGGGUAGUACAUACUACCAGAUGUACUGGUACCUACAGCGUCCAGGAGAGAAUAUGAGAUUUAUUGUAUUUAUGACUGUUAGUGAACUAGACUUUGGAGAUGUGGACAAGAAGAAAUUUGAAGCUCAAAAAAGUGAUGCCGAAAGUGGAUCUUUGAAAGUGAAAGCUCUAGGGCCAGAUGACAGUGCUAUAUAUUUCUGUGCAGUGAGUGAACACAGUGUGUCAAAGACUGGAGAGUGCUGUACAAAAACAUUCUAUGCAGAAAAAGACAAUAACAGCAUUAGUCAACAGGUGGCAGUCUGGUACAACCAAUGUGCCUCAUGUCAAAACAAAAAACAAUUUAGUUGUAGAAGAAUUCACAUACAAACUUCAUUAAAAUAUUCUUCUGAAAUCAGAUGGAUCAAAGUUUUGUUUAACCUCCACAUAGCAGUCUGGUACAUCCAAUAUGCUGCAUUUCAGAACAUUUAG